rnacentral:rRNA from 1 species
AGCGAACGCUGGCGGCAGGCUUAACACAUGCAAGUCGAACGCCCCGCAAGGGGAGUGGCAGACGGGUGAGUAACACGUGGGAACGUACCCUUUGGUUCGGAAUAACUUGGGGAAACUCAAGCUAAUACCGGAUAAGCCCUUAUGGGGAAAGGUUUACUGCCGAAGGAUCGGCCCGCGUCUGAUUAGCUUGUUGGUGAGGUAAUGGCUCACCAAGGCGACUAUCAGUAGCUUGUCUGAGAGGAUGAUCAGCCACACUGGGAGUAGGACACGGCCCGGAAUCCUACGGGAGGCAGCAGUGGGGGAUAUAGGACAAUGGGGGCAACCCUGAUCCAGCCAUGCCGCGUGAGUGAUGAAGGCCUUAGGGUUGUAAAGCUCUUUUACCCGGGAAGAUAAUGACUGUACCGGGAGAAUAAGCCCCGGCUAACUUCGUGCCAGCCGCCGCGGUAA